GAUGAACGCUGGCGGCGUGCCUAAUACAUGCAAGUCGAGCGAACAGACGAGGAGCUUGCUCCUCUGACGUUAGCGGCGGACGGGUGAGUAACACGUGGAUAACCUUCCUAUAAGACUGGGAUAACUUCGGGAAACCGGAGCUAAUACCGGAUAAUAUAUUGAACCGCAUGGUUCAAUAGUGAAAGACGGUUUUGCUGUCACUUAUAGAUGGAUCCGCGCCGCAUUAGCUAGUUGGUAAGGUAACGGCUUACCAAGGCAACGAUGCGUAGCCGACCUGAGAGGGUGAUCAGCCACACUGGAACUGAGACACGGUCCAGACUCCUACGGGAGGCAGCAGUAGGGAAUCUUCCGCAAUGGGCGAAAGCCUGACGGAGCAACGCCGCGUGGGUGAUGAAGGUCUUCGGAUCGUAAAACUCUGUUAUUAGGGAAGAACAAAUGUGUAAGUAACUAUGCACGUCUUGACGGUACCUAAACAGAAAGCCACGGCUAACUACGUG
rnacentral:rRNA from 1 species